rnacentral:lncRNA from 1 species
AGGAUCUUGUGUUUGUGGCCUCCGCAGCCAGCUUAGGCUGCUCGGUGUCGUGUCGCAGUUAUGUACUGCCAUUUAUUAUGACUCUUAGAAUAUAGUUAUUUCUUACUCUUCCGCUGCCUCCUUUGCUUUUAAAGCCUGUUCUGCCAAGUCUCGCUGGAGAAGGAAACCCCUGAAACUGGUCCUGGUGGUCUCAGACCGCCGCGCGAGCGAAGAGUGGGGAGGACAAAGGUUGGGGAGUUGAGAAGGAUGGAGAUGGGUGCAUCUGGAAGGGAGUCCGUCCUGAGGAGUCCCCCAUCAGCUGUCAGCCAGCCAGCAGCAAAGCAAAUUAAGACUACACAGCUCCGAAGAAGCCAGUUCCCAACCAAGCCAGUGGAGAAAAGUCAGCCCGGUCCCCAGGAGUGCUUGAGGCUCUGUCACUCUUGGACGUCAAAAAGGGUCAUUUGAUGACUGGACGCUUACCUCACCGGUGUGAGGUAAGCUUCAAACGCCGUAUCAUGUUGCUUUAAAACCUGCGGGUAACAGCAUAAGCUGAGUUUUCUAUCUUAGAACUCUUAACCCCAAGAACACUCUUCACAGGCCCUGAUAGGUGGACCCACAAAAAAACCACUCAGGCUAUAUUUGACUCGGAUUUGAAACGCUGCCGAAACGGUAUUAAGUGUCCUCCUCAACUGGAAAAGACAAAUAACAAAUGAUGCCUGAAUGAGAAAAAGACUAGACGUGCACACAGUAAUGUGUGAGCAGGGAAACUUCAGCGAAGGUUUUUAUCAUGCUUUACCCCUUUUACAUGCUUUACCCCAUGUGCAAACAUUUUUCAUGGGUUUUUUUCUAUUUUUUAUUUAUUUUUAUUCUAUUUUUUUAUUUAUACACAAAAAAGUUUCAAUGAUUUUUUAAAGAGUAAUAGUUUUAAUAUGUUACAUUUAAACUUUGACGAUGCAAACAGGUUGUCAAGAGAAGCAACUGAGCAUUGUUUGGUUGGUAAGAAAAUUUAUUAUACUAGAAGCUACCGCAUAAUUCACUGUGCAAUUUGCUUGCCCUAAUUGCCUAAAUAUUUAGUUACAGUUCUGUACACUUGCAAGGAUGAGGGGAAGGGAACUGAAGUUUAGCGUGUCACUGUGGAUCAGGCACUUUCCAAAUGUAGAAGAAAAUGAACAGAAACAUUUCACCUGUUUUGAUGUGGAAAUUUAACCGUUUUGUUUUUCAACCUUUGCUGUUGCAAAGUAUUAAAGUCCUGUGCAGUUUUGCAAAUAUAUCUCACCGCAGAAAGAUCUCCUUUCCUAAGAAGACUGGGAAGAACGGCUUUCCACUUGCCAGUAAUGUGUCCUCUGGUUUCAAUUGAGCCAUCAGUGUCUGUACUCCAGCCUGGGCUACCAAGCGAUACCCCACCUCUGAAAAAAGGGUAGCAAGGGGACAGAGAAGAGCUGUCUGGAUACACGAGAUUCCAAAAACCUAAUCCUGAGAUAAAAUUCCCUAGGGAAUUGCUCUACCGAGAGUAGAGAUUUGACCUGGAAAGAGAAGGGAGAGAAGUAUUUAAUCAUUAACUCUUUUAAUCCUCCCAACAACCUUUUUAGUAUCAUUUUUCAAAUGAGGAAACUGAAAUGUAGAAAGAUUAUGUACACUGUUGAAGGUAACACUAAGCCACUGCCUCCUUCAUAUCAAGAAUAGUUGUUCAUCGAGCAAAUAAAGUGAGGGAAAGACAUUACAAGCAGAGAAAUCAACAUACACACUAUUGUGGCUGGACUUCAGGCUACAGGGUGGUUCCAAAUAUUUAUUGACAAGGCCCUGUGUUACGUGCUGAGGAUACAGAGAUAAAUAAACCAGCUGUCCUAAAGCCGCUGACACUAGUGAGAGAAACCUUAAAAAAAAUACAAUGCAGACUAAAUAAGUGCUGUGAUAGAGGCUAAUGUUCACGGUAUUGGAAAAUGAUAAGAAAACAGCAGCCGGAGAGAAUGUGAGAAAGCCAGUGAAGGUGCUGCUUUAGCAGAGUCCAAAUGUCAAGAGUUAUCCCCUACUAACCCUGAAAUUGUUCUGGGAUAGGGUCUAAAGAAUGAAAUCCAAAGAACAACAGAGAAGAACACCAGAGAAUACUUGGAGAGAGGAAACAAAUUGCUCUAACCAAUGGAGUUUUAAAUGGUCUAGUUUAAAAUAGGUUGAAUUUACCUAGGUGUUAUGAGAACUUAAGAACUUACAUAAGUGGCAUUCAUUGGUAUGGUCAAAGAGGUUAGGUAAGGCUUCUUUGAGGAAGUCACACCAGAAUGGAGAUCCAAAAGAUGAGAAACUGAAAAAGGGAGAGUGGGAAACAGAGGGAAUAUCAUGUGUAAAGCCUUUUUGUCAGAAGGGAACACUGCAAGCCUGAGGGACUGAAAGGAGGCUAUUGUGGCUAGAGCCUAGGUUGCAGGGAGAAAGUGCACCAGUUUGAAGCUGGAGACCAGAUUAAGCAGAGUCUUAUUGGCCAUAUUAAGAACUGUAAUCUUAAGAGAAAAAGGGAGGGGGAGGGCAUUUGACAUGAUUGGAUCUGUGUUUUGAAAAGAUCAUUCCAGCUGCAGUGUGGGAACACAAGCAGAGCCAGCACUGGACUAAUUAAAUCUAUGAGUGGUGUUAGUGUUGGUAGGCAUGCAAGUGGCUUGGGGUAGGAACAAGGAGAUGGACAGAAGUGGGGGAAAUGGAACAAUAGGAAGUAAAGUGGAAGGUCUUGGUGAUGGAUUCAAAUAUCAUGGGGUGGGAUGGGGACUGAGGGAGAGGGAGGAGUCAGAUAACUCAGAAUUUCUAGCAGACCCAGUGGGUGGAUAGUAAUGCCAUCAUUGAGAUAUGGAGGACACUGGAAGAGAGCCAGGUUUGGGGGAAGAGGGUAAUUUCAAUUUGAACACGUUAAGUUUAAGAUAUUUUUGUGACUUCAAGGGAAGAUGUAAACAUUGGAAUCUUUAGGUCUGCAGCACUGGGCUGGAGAAAAAAAUAUAUAUUACCAUUUGCAAUUUUUUGUUUUCUGCAGGGUACUUAUUUUUUCAAAAUACAUAUGUCUUUAUUGUAAAUAAGAUGUUUUGUUUUUAAACAUAUUUAGACGCACUUGAACCCAGGAGCCAGAGGGUUGCAGUGAGCUGAGAUGUCACCAUUGCACUCCAACCUGGGCAACAAGAGCAAAACUCAGUCUCAAAAAAUAAAUAAAAAUAUAUUGAGAACAGAAUUUUAAACUAGAGCAGUUUCCCAGACUUCUCUGAGAGUCACCAGUGUCCCUUAUCAAAAACUCAAAUUCUCAGGCCCAUCCCCUAGAGAUUCUGAUUUCACUUGUCUGGUAUAGGGGGCCUGGAAAUGUGGAUUUUUUGACAAAUGCCACUGGAGAUUCUUCUUAUUGCUGAGUUUCUCUGGGAAGUGGUAUGCCAGUGCCAGAGGCUACCUGCAUAAGAGUCACCACAGUGCUUAUUGAAAUAUAGAUUCUCGGGCCCUGCAGACUAAAUCUAUAGGGAUAGAAGGGUUGUGAGGAAUGGAAAAAGGAACAUGGUACCAUGUCAGGUGGUCCAAGACCUCACCCUUCAUCUUUGACAGAGAUGUUCUGCGCGUCCCACUGGGCAGCCCAGAGGAAAGUGGAUGUCCCUUGCUGGGUGAUGCGUAUUUAGGCAGCAGGCAGCCCUCACAGUCUGCAAUGAUAACAGCUCUUAACCUAGGCCUUCUGCCCUGUCCACUGACAUGGCACUCAGCCCACUUAGAUAGUCUCUUUUUCCACCAUUCUUAUCAAGGCCCAUUGUUCCCUCCUGGCCCCCAAAUCUUUUUCAAUGUUAUUUCCAGCACCCUGUCUUUUUACUCCUGGUUCAGGUGUUUUUCAGCCAAUCUCUGUGGCCAGAGCUGGGAGAGAAAUUGGGUCAAAUGCUAUGUUUCAGUCUUGACAAGGCUUUUUUGUUCUUGAGAACCGACUUUGGAAGUGUUUUUAAAGACUGAGCUGUGUCAGGGAGGAAAAACUUUUCCUCUGCGCUCUCUUGUUUCCUCUUUGGGGGCCUGCAAAUUAAAACAACAAAGAUAGCAAGAGAAAAAAGACAUUUAAUUACAUAUGUACACACACACAGAGAGAGGGAGAAAGAAAGAGAAAUUCACAAAUAACUGACCCUAGGUGGUUAGAAUUUAGAGCUUAUAUACCAUCUUAAUAGGGGACAAAGAAGGGCAGAGAGGCCCUUCUAGGAGAGUAAAUGACUUCUUCAAAGGAAGUGAGGGAGAGACAAAGCAUUUAGAGAAAACAAAACACUUUUUGGAAAGAUAAAUGGACUUUUAGGAGAAUAGAUGGAAGAUACGAUAGUUUUGUAGCAAUGUCUGGGUGUGGUGCAGAUGUCUCCUCAGAGAAGAAAAUAUUAGAAUUGCUCCCCAGGAGGGGAUUUAUUACAAUUGAGGUCUUUUGGGAGGCUUUACUUUUAGGCACAUAAGGGAUUUCAGGAACUCAAGUCCUUCAGCUCAAAAUAACUUUUAUGCCAUGGUAGCUUAUUCUGAACCCCUUCAAUUAUUUGUUCUUGUAGUCUUGCUGUAGCAAUCCCAAGUCUCUUUGAGACACUGUAGAUGCUUUGGAAUAGAGGAAGAAUCAGAACAUAUGAAGAAAAGAAAUGAUUAGAAUGAUUUGUUGGUGAUGGCAAGCAUACAGAAAAGUUUCUAAAACUGAAGUAUACUAUUGAGCACGAUAACACACUCAUGUAACCCCAUAUGGGCCAAAGUAGAACAUUCAACACUCCAAAAGGCCCCAAUGUGCUCCUUCCCUUAUAACCUUCAAGUGCCUAGAGAUGGCCACAUCAUGAUUAUUACCAUAUUUACUUUCUUGUUUUUCUUUCUGGUUUUACUGCCUAAUUACUCAUCCUUAAACAAUAUUAUUUUUGAGCUCUAUGUAAAUGGAAUCACAGAGUUUUUCAUUUACAUGUCUUGAACUUUUUUGAUCAAUCUGUCUUUAAGAUUUACCCAUGUUGAUAUGGCUGUAGUUUAUUCAUUUUCAUUGCUGUAGGUUACUAUAUUGCAUUGGUGUAUCAUAAUUUAUUCUACUGCUGAUGGACAUAUAGGCUAUUUCUAGCUUUAGGCUAUUAUAAGCAAUGCUGCUGUGAAAGUUUGUGUAAACACACACACAUAUGUAUGUUCUCUUUAAGUACAUAUGUGUGUGUGUGUGUGAAUGUAUAUAUAUAUAUAUAUAUAUGUUCUAGAGCAUAUAAACACAGAUUUCUUUGGAGUCUUUACCUUGGUAUGUAAUUCCUGGUUUGUAGAGCAUGUAUAUAUUAAUAUAUUCAGUUUUACAAGAUCGUGCCAAAAUUUUCCAAAAUGAUUGUACCAAUUUAUAUAACCAACAACAAUAUACAAAAGUUUCUGUUGCACUACAUCCUCACCAACACUUGAUAUUGUCAGACAUUUUAAGUUUUAUUACUGUAAUGAAUGUGUAAUGCUGUUUUAUUGUGGCUCUAUUUUGCAUUUCCCUGAUUUUUAAUGAAGAAUAGCCCCUUUUUAUAUGAGUGUUGUCUAAUUGUUUAGGUCUUUCCCCAUUUUUCUGUUGGGUUGUUUGUAUUUUUCUUACUUUUUGUAUUAAUCUGUUAUAUAAUGUUGAAACAAGUUUUAUUGAUUAUAUGUGCUACAAAUGUUUUUCCCACUUUGUGGCUUGUACUUUCACUGUCUUAAUGUCUUUUGAUGAAACCAAGUUGUCAGUGGAGUAGAAUUCAUCACUCUUCCCUUAUGAUUAAUGAUAUCUGUAUCCUAUUUAAGAAAUAUUUUCCAACCCUAAGAUCAUUAAGACUUUUAUAUUGUCUUCUAAAAUUUUAUUGCUUUGCUUUUUAAAUUUUGGUCUAGGCAGACCUGCAAUUAAUGUUCUUACAUAUGGAGAAAGGGAGGCAUAUAUAGAUCCCCAACCCCUUCCAUGUGGAAAAUUAGACUAGCACCAUUUGUUGAAAGAUGGUCCUCUCUGCCCUACCCUGCAGUGCCAUCUUGAUCAUGAACCAAGUAGUCAUAUAAGUAUGGAGUUGUUUCUGACCUUGGUAUUCUUUCCAUUAGUCUAUUAUCUUUUUUUGUAUGUUGCUGGAUUCAAUAUACUCACAUUUUGUUUAAGAUUUCAGGGGAUCUCACAAAUAAGACUGACCUGUAAUUUUCCUUUUGGUAAUGUCUUUCUCUGAAUUUGGUAUCAAAAUAUGCUAGCUACCUUCAUUAAAUGAGUUGGGGAAUACACUUUCUUUUUCCUAUUCAGUUGUCUUUUUUACCCAUUUAUUCUUCUUGUUUUUGGAAUCAAGUUGUCAAGAACCCCCAAAACUCUAUGUGGAUUUUUA